UCAAAGGUUGUUAAGUCAAAGAGAGAUUCUCAAAGGUUGUUAAGUCAAAGAGGGAUUCUCAAAGGUUGUUAAGUCAAAGAGAGAUUCUCAAAGGUUGUUAAGUCAAAGAGGGAUUCUCAAAGGUUGUUAAGUCAAAGAGGGAUUCUCAAAGGUUGUUAAGUCAAAGAGGGAUUCUCAAAAGUUCGUAAGUCAAAGAGGGAUUCUCAAAGGUUCGCAAGUUAAUUUUCUCAACUUAUUUAAGUUACGAGCUCCACCAGGGGUUAUGAUUUCAAAGAUGGCCGCCCUAAGACACUACUCUGCGGUAAAAAGUCAGAUGUCUCUCUGAUUAUGUUGUGUUUAUUUCUUCUCUCUCUUUCUCUCUCUUUUCUCCUCUCUUCUCGCUAUCCCCUCUUAUUUCCUUCUUCUCUACCUCUUAUUCUUUCCUUCCUCCUUUUCUCUUGUUCUUCCUAUUCCCUCCCUCCCUCUUUUUCCUUCCUUCCCUCCAUAAUAUUAUCGAGAUAUCUAUCACUAGCUAUGACGUCAUCGAGGUCUUUACCACUUGCUAUAACGUCAUCGAGGUCUUUACCACCUGCUAUGACGUCACCAAGGCCUCUACCACUUAUGACGUCAUCGAGGUCUUUACCACCUGCUAUGACGUCACCAAGGUCUCUACCACUUGUUAUGACGUCAUCGAGGCGACUUCAAUUGUUCUAUGGCGUCAUGGAGGUGUCAUUGACGUCACAGGCACCAAUUUGGCAUUCGUCCAGCUGAACACUUACCAGCUCCUGACUUACUAAGGUUCACACGAUCAAUAUUCCUUUGUGAGUUGGGAAGACGUAAAAA